ACAGCUUGAAGCAGUGAUUGAGCACCUGGUGGGAAGGCAGGACCAGCCCAGGGGAGCUCAGGUGCAUGUAAUGUACUGAGUGAUUGGAAGCCAUGGAGCCAGGAUCCACCCCUUCCCAGCUCUCAUUUAAGGCUUGGCAGUGGUGGUGAGGGGAUGUUGCUGGAGAUCCCUACCUACCUGAGGCCUUCUGAAGCUGUGUUCCUGGGGAGCACUUGAAUCAAGCUGUGGCAAGUGAUCCUGUGGUUCAUGGAUUAUCUCUACAACUGAGUCUGAAUCUCACGUUCUGGUAAAAUAAAAGAUCAUCGCAGCAUAGGAGGUCAAAACGACAGUUUCAGAAAUAAAUGCAGAAGACUUCAUUGCUUUGUAGAUGAGGAAAAUUAGGUCAGAAGAAAAGCGAGACCAACACCCUGGGUUUCUCACUGUUGGCAGUCCAGUGCCCAUUCUGCAGAAAUGGAAUCUGUUGUUCUGGGAAUGGAAUAGCUGAGCAUCAUUAAGGCUACUUUGAAGCUGAAGUUGGACAUACCUAUAAAACCUUACCCCAGAAUAGCACAGAAAAUAAUAGAGAAGUUUUUACAUGAAGAAAAUUAAGUAUGUAGCUUCUUAGCUUUGCUGGGGAAACAUAAGUGGUUUAGGUGGGAUGAAACUUAUAUCAAUGUCUGUGAUCAACUAUGUGAGGCACUGAACAUCUAAAGCUUUUGUCACCCAGUCUCACUUUUUAAUAGUCAAGUUUGAAAAAGCAAUACAAAACAGGAAAACACCACUGGAUUUUAGACUGAUUUUAUUGAGCUUGUAAGAUUGAAGCUGUAGGCUGCUGAAAAAUACCUGUUAGGUCUUAUCUGCAAUAGUUACACUGUCACUGAUUAGCAACGGCAUUAGUUAACAUUAAUAGUAAUUCUGAUAGUCGUUUAGAGAGUUUGAUUCAGGGUUAUAGCAUCCUUACAGGACGUGUGAUCUAGAAAGCUUCUGAAGUGAGAAACAGAAUGAUAUUCUCUUGUUAGUCUGUAAUUUUGAAAAUCGCAUGCAUGCUUAUUCCUUUAAAUUAACUGUUGCCAUCAAGUUAAGUACAAACAACAACGGAAGUGGGUAUCCUUCUGUGUGUGCACAUCUUCAGAUUAAGAUGUGUUGAUUUUAUCCCAUUCUUAAUCUUUGUUGUGGGUGUUUUAAAUAAUACAAUAACUUCAUUCUUUUAAAGUUUCUACCAGCGGGAUGUCUUGAAAAUGCUGCAAAUGAGAAGGAUUACAAGUUGUUAGAAACUCUAGCCUUUGUAAGUCAGCUUGGAAUGACUAGUGGAGUACUUAAAUAGAUUGUGUGCUGUUAUCCUCCUUACAUUCUUUAAUGACAAUCUAUUUUUAAUAAAUGUGUUUAGGUGGGUUAAUUGGAGUUGGUAAUAAAUCUAGUCUUAUCCUAAAGAAUACAUACUGAUUGAAAGUCAACUUGUAUAUGAUUAUACGUAAUUUGUUUUAUUGGCUUUGCAGUUGCAAGAAAAAAUGUGUUUUGAAGAAUACACAAGAUCUGCCUUCCACUCAGUUCUGGAGUAUUAGAUAUUUUUUCUCUUGGUGUGGAGAAUUCAUUGAAGUUACUUAAGCACAUGGUUAAGCUGAUGCUCAAAUGCAGUGGAAGACUUCAUGUUCAGAUAAUGAUGGAUAUAUAUUAGCUAUGUAUGAAAAAGAUUCUCUGUCACAAUGUAAUAUCAGUUCUCUUUUGCAGAGAUGUUAUGAGUUUCGAAUGCUGCCGUAUACAGUUUACCUGCCUGAAGUUUUGAAUGGUUAUUUCAAGCUGUUUGUACUUGACAAGUGUGGGCAAUGUCCAAACAGCCAUCUGAUGUCUGUUUCUUUGACUUGGCUGUUAGAAAAAAGGGCCAUUCAUUCUUUCUCAAUCCCUCUUACCUGGCAGAGCCAGUCCUGACUCCAGCUAUUUUAGUAUUCUCUUUAAAAUAUUCUCUUUAGUGUUCAGUUUCUAGUAUUCUUAUGUCUGCUACAAAUAGAUCUGAAGGAUGCGGGUCUUUGUACGAAUCCAGUCUUAUAGUGUAUCUUAAACAUGUUAUCCAAGUAUCUUUGCUGUGCCAUCCACUUCAAUCAGCAUCUGAUCUUUUGCCUUCCGUUAUCUGUUGAUGAAAAUGUUUUAUGUGCUGUUUGUCUUUAUUACCAAAUGAGAUAAGUACAUAUGCCAUAGUCUCUGGAUGUCUCGUAGGGGAAAUUAUCUUCAGGUUUCAUUCUAAAUUCAUAUCUAAUGUAUAAUUAGCUUCAUCUGAAUAAAGAAAAUCAUCUUUCUCACUUGAAGCCACAGAUUUCCAGGACAGAGAACCUCUUUGCACAGCCUACACGAUAGAUCUUUUUCUGUAUUUUAUGAUGAGUGAACAAGAGCCUUGAAGAACAGACUUGGCCUCAAGUCUGUAAUGGG